GUCCUCAUUUAACAAUAGGAUAUUUUCCUUAUUUUCUAAAACUACUUUUCAAUUUUAUGAAUCAGCUAAGACAAAAGAACCCCAACCACUUAUACAUAAAGAAAAGCAAUUUAUUACUUAAAACAAGACAGUAGCACUAAACCAGACAAGGCAAAGAAGAUGACAUAUGUUUUAAAGAGAUAACUGAAGAUGAUGUGGAGAAUGAAUUGGAGAUUAAAUUAGGAGCAAGAAAACCAGUUAAGAGGUUGUAGUAAUCCACCCACUUGAUGAUGAGGGUCCAUAUGAAAGAAGAAGAGUCCUUUCUUCCACCAUAAUCCUUUCUUUCGCAGCCCCGGUACAACUAAGGGAUGGGUAGGCACUCUCAUUUGGAAUUGAAUCUUGAACAGAGGGACUCAAGAACAGAAGAAACACUGUUUACCUCUUCACACUUAGAGGUGAUGCUCCUAGUGUCAAGUAGUCUCUUUUCUGAUUCUUUUCUUUUUUGGAGCAUGGUUUGCCAGCCUUCACAUUGAUUGUGUGAGCUCCCUGAUAAAUUCUUGGUUUUGCUUUAGUUGGCCCAAAUUGGUUUCUAGGGCUUACAAUAAAAAACCCCUAAUUGAGACUGUGGUGAUGUUUGAGGCACCUAUGGAUAACCAGGUGGAGACCGUUAGUUGGAAAUAUGAAACUAGAAUAGUGGUUCUCAAAGUGAUGCAUCAGAAUCACUGAGAACUUGUUAGAAAUGCAAAUUCUCAGGCCCCACCCCAGACUCACUGAAUAUGAUACUCAAGGAGUGGGGCCCUAGCAAUCUGAACAUUAGUAAGCCCUCAUGGUGAUUCAAAUGCACAUUAUAGUUUGAGAACCAACUGAACUAGAGCUUAAAAGGGAGACUGGGGGCUUUGCUCUCGGCUGGACUGUUUCGUUUAUCUGUCAUCCUCCUCCUGGAACUACCUGGCUUGCCUGGGCAUACUUCUCUCACGGUGAUGAAAGAAGAGUUUUAAGAGGACAAGCAGAAACAUGCAUGGCUUCUUGAGGCCUAGACUCCAAACUGACACACUGGCACUUCUGCCUCAUUCUGUUGUCCAUAACAGGUUAUACAGCCAAGCCCAGAUUCAAGGAGUGAGGAAUAGAAUUCACCUCUUAAGAGAAAUAGCAAAGUGACAUGGCAGAGGACAUGGAUUCAUGGAGGGGUGAAGCAUUGGGACCAUUAAUAUCACAGCAGGGAUGACCUGAGCAUGCUUGAAAGUAGAAGGGAAGGAAUAUGCAGAACGAAGAAGAAGGUGAAGUAAAGAGCAAAAUCGAUACCAUAGGUGACCACACUUGGGGAUUGUCAUAGUUUGAGUAAUUCCUCUGGGCUCUGCCACCCAGCAAGUUAAAGAGGACAAGAUUCCUCCCAGGGGACUGUGGUUCUGGGAAUGUGAGCAGCUUGUUUUCAUGAGAUCUGCACCCUGGCCUGGCCUGGUAGGAGCUGUUGUGUGAUGGUCUCGUUGUUUGUAGUUGCUUCUUCCAGCUUACACGGUUAUUUGUAUAUAAAGAUUUAUGAAAAGUGAAGCUUUUACCAGGAUGUUUUACUUAUACAAAGAAAAAUUAAAACUAUUUUAAAGUGAUUACUUGUGUCUUAUAUUUUUCUCUUUUAAAAUAAAUGAAAGUAUUAAUUGACGUUGUCUGGAAAUAAAAUGAAGACCAAGGAAGUGGCUAUGCUCUUAAUGUUUUAAAAUAAGGUAAUAUUAUUCUCUGUUUAAUUGGAGCCUUCUAAGGAAUUACUACAGUCUCAUACACAAUUGACUUAAAUGCAUUCUUUAUCUUUAAAAG
rnacentral:lncRNA from 1 species